UGGGGAAUUUUGGACAAUGGGGGAAACCCUGAUCCAGCCAUCCCGCGUGUGCGAUGAAGGCCUUCGGGUUGUAAAGCACUUUUGGCAGGAAAGAAACGUCGCGGGUUAAGUACCCCGCGAAACUGACGGUACCUGCAGAAUAAGCACCGGCUAACUACGUGCCAGCAGCCGCGGUAAUACGUAGGGUGCAAGCGUUAAUUGGAAUUACUGGGUGUAAAGCGUGCGCAGGCGGUUCGGAAAGAAAGAUGUGAAAUCCCAGAGCUUAACUUUGGAACUGCAUUUUUAACUACCGGGCUAGAGUGUGUCAGAGGGAGGUGGAAUUCCGCGUGUAGCAGUGAAAUGCGUAGAUAUGCGGAGGAACACCGAUGGCGAAGGCAGCCUCCUGGGAUAACACUGACGCUCAUGCACGAAAGCGUGGGGAGCAAACAGGAUUAGAUACCCUGGUAGUCCACGCCCCUAAAACGAUGUCAACUAGCUGUUGGGGGCCUUCGGGCCUUGGUAGCGCAGCUAACGCGUGAAGUUGACCGCCUGGGGGAGUACGGUCGCAAGAUUAAAACUCAAAGGAAUUGACGGGGGUCAUAGCUGUUUUCCUG
rnacentral:rRNA from 1 species